ACAGCAGUAGCCACGGGAAUACGAAGGGGGCUAGCGUUGUUCGGAUUUACUGGGCGUAAAGGGCGCGUAGGCGGACUGAUAAGUCAGGGGUGAAAUCCCAAGGCUCAACCUUGGAACUGCCUUUGAUACUGUUUGUCUUGAGUUCGAGAGAGGUAAGUGGAACUGCGAGUGUAGAGGUGAAAUUCGUAGAUAUUCGCAAGAACACCAGUGGCGAAGGCGGCUUACUGGCUCGAAACUGACGCUGAGGCGCGAAAGCGUGGGGAGCAAACAGGAUUAGAUACCCCUGUAGUCCCUGUCUCUUAUAC
rnacentral:rRNA from 1 species